rnacentral:rRNA from 1 species
UACAGAGGUCCCAAGCGUUGUUCGGAUUCAUUGGGCGUAAAGGGUGCGUAGGCGGCUCAUUAAGUCAGUGGUGAAAUACCCCGGCUCAACCGGGGGGGUGCCAUUGAUACUGAUAGGCUUGAGUACAGACGAGGCAGGCGGAAUUGACGGUGUAGCGGUGAAAUGCAUAGAUAUCGUCAAGAACACCUAUAGCGAAGGCAGCUUGCUAGACUGGCACUGACGCUGAGGCACGAAAGCGUGGGGAUCAAACAGG